GAAGCAAUCAGUUCAUAUUUCACAAGCAGCCAGGCAAGACAAGAGCUGGUGAAGCUAAGCACUGUUGACUCUCUGAUUGUGCCAUGUCACCAGAGUGUUACCCUCCAAUGCAGAAUCUCCACCUUCGAGGAGGGGCUGUCAAUCUAUCAUCUGGCCUGGGUCCUCCAGGACGGGAAGUACCUGUGUGAUGUUAAUGCGACUGGAGUGAUGAGGACCCACCCAGGGAACACACCUAGUGCCAUGGAGUGUAGUUAUACCCCACAGACACAGCUGUCCCUGACUCUGCUGCAGGUACAGCCACUGGAGCAGGGAAAGUACUUGUGCAAGCUGCGCUCCAAUCAUGGAGUAAAGGAGACCACUACAACGGUGAAGCUGCAAGGCGAGUGUCCUAGCUCAUUCUUACUCAUGUAAUACUGUCAUAACUUAGACAUCUGUCAUGCAUGUAUUCCCGAAGCCAUUGACCAGAGGCUGGUGGGAGGACCUAUAGGAGGACAGGCUCAUUGUAAUGGCUGGAAUGGGUUAAAUGGAAUGGUAGUCAUGUUUGACUCUGUUCCAUUUAUUCCAUUCCAGCCAUUACAAUGACCCAGUCCUCCUAUAGCUCCUCCCACCAGCCUCCUCUGCAAUUGGUAUUUUGCACUGUUCGUCAAUAUUGCAUAUAGGUCAGUGGUAGUAAAUGGACAUUGCCUAACCACCAGGAAGUACAAGGGACUUUAGUGCCUCCA
rnacentral:lncRNA from 8 species